GGGGGGGGAGCGCGUUCAAAGAUUUAAAGCAUUUUAGAUCAAUUAUUUAAACUAUUGUAUACAGUCUUAAACGAGUUGAGGCAGAAGAGACUAGUUACAAGUAAAGCAGGAGGACUUCUAAGAGCUUGGAUUAGGGUAAUGGUCAUAAGAAUGGAAAAAAAAAAAAACCAACCAGAUACAUUAACAAAAAAAAACCUCUUCGAAAUGUUAAGUUCACGUAAUCUGGUGAUAAGUCGGAUGUGUGUGAGGAUGGGUAGAAGUGGAGAACUGAAAGGUGACUAGUUCCUGUGACUGGUGCAGUGGGGUACCAGUAACAGAAGUAGGAAAUAAAAACAGAACACGUUUGGGGGUGGGUGGGUUCAGUUUUGAGCAGGUUGUCUGAGGCGCCCAUCUCACAUUCAGGUUGGUAAGUCCAGGCUGAACCUUCAAAGACAGUCUGGGACUCUAAAGAUUGAUAGGGAUUGGGAUGGAGGUAAUCAUUCCGUCAGUGGCGGCUGAAUCCAUGACACUGGAGAAGGUGACCCGGGGACAGCGAGGAGAAGCAUGAUGAAAUUUGCUUCGUCCAAGUUUUCCAAAUGGAUGUCUGGUGCCAGAAGAGAACAAAGUCACGACGGACUCAAGCUAUUCGCGUCCAGAUCGGGGAGACCGUCAUAGCACGCUCCCUGCUCAGGGGCUCGGGAAAUUGGUCUAGGAAAAUGGGCCCUUCACAGAAUUCCAGCUGUAAAUAGCACUCGUCAUCACCCCCAUCACCGCAGCUGGUAAUGAAGAGAAAUGUGUCGGGUAAUGAGGAGAGUGGCCGCCAUGAUAGUAAUGAAGAAAAAUGGACAGAAAGGCUGCGGGAAGGGGACCUCCGCUAUUUCCUGGUAUAAUCGGCGUGAGCACCACACCAUCACCAGAAUGAUCUGUCUGAAACGCGAAUUUGAUCACAUGAUUCUCCUGCUACAAAAUGGGUUUCUCGGCCAUGGCUUCUAAGUCCUACGCCGGCUUUCGAGAUCCUCCAUAACCUGCCUCCAGCCUGCCUUUCCUCCCUGGUUUCUGCGACUCUCCCUCUCAGCUCGAUACUCACCCGGCACUGAAAUGGGGACACUCCGUGCACCUUGGUGUCCUUUACCCGCCGUCCUCCUUGCCUGGAAUUCUCUCUCCCCUCCAGUCCCGCCUGUGGUAUUUACCAUUCUGCAAGAGCUAGAUUUUCGCCUCAGAAGCCUUCUCCGGCCUCCCAAACAGAGGUGAGUUCUUUCCC
rnacentral:lncRNA from 1 species